UACAGAGGGUGCGAGCGUUGUUCGGAAUUACUGGGCGUAAAGCGUGCGCAGGCGGUUUUGUAAGCCAGAUGUGAAAGCCCCGGGCUUAACCUGGGAAUGGCAUUUGGGACUGCAAGGCUUGAGUGCGGCAGAGGAGACUGGAAUUCCUGGUGUAGCAGUGAAAUGCGUAGAUAUCAGGAGGAAUACCGAUGGCGAAGGCAGGUCUCUGGGCUGACACUGACGCUCAUGCACGAAAGCGUGGGGAGCAAACAGG
rnacentral:rRNA from 1 species